rnacentral:piRNA from 2 species
UGAAAGGACAUGUGAUAAAGGAUUCUUUGC